GAUGAACGCUGGUGGCGUGCCUAACACAUGCAAGUCGAGCGAUUCUCUUCGGAGAAGAGCGGCGGACGGGUGAGUAACGCGUGGGUAACCUGCCCUGUACACACGGAUAACAUACCGAAAAGUAUGCUAAUACGAGAUAACAUGCUUUUAUCGCAUGGUAGAAGUAUCAAAGCUUUUGCGGUACAGGAUGGACCCGCGUCUGAUUAGCUAGUUGGUGAGGUAACGGCUCACCAAGGCGACGAUCAGUAGCCGACCUGAGAGGGUGAUCGGCCACAUUGGAACUGAGACACGGUCCAAACUCCUACGGGAGGCAGCAGUGGGGAAUAGUGCACAAUGGGCGAAAGCCUGAUGCAGCAACGCCGCGUGAGCGAUGAAGGCCUUCGGGUAGUAAAGCUCUGUCCUCAAGGAAGAUAAUGACGGUACUUGAGGAGGAAGCCCCGGCUAACUACGUG
rnacentral:rRNA from 1 species